rnacentral:rRNA from 1 species
CCUACGGGAGGCAGCAGUGAGGAAUUUUGGUCAAUGGGCGCGAGCCUGAACCAGCCAAGUAGCGUGAAGGAUGACUGCCCUACGGGUUGUAACCUCUUUUAUAAAGGGAUUAAGUGAGGCAAGUGUGCCUUUUUGUAUGUACUUUAUCAAUAAGGAUCGGCUAACUCCGUGCCAACAGCCGCGGUAAUACGGAGGAUCCGAGCGUUAUCCGGAUUUAUUGGGUUUAAAGGGAGCGUAGAUGGGUUGUUAAGGCAGUUGUGAAAGUUUGCGGCUCAACCGUAAAAUUGCAAUUGAUACGGGCAGUCUUGAGUACAGUUGAGGUAGGCGGAAUGCGUGGUGUAGCGGUGAAAUGCUUAGAUAUCACGAAGAACUCCGAUUGCGAAGGCAGCUUACUAAACUGCCACUUACAUUGAUGCUCGAAAGUGUGGGUAUCAAACAGGAUUAGAUACCCCAGUAGUC